AGAGAUGCACUGGGCUUAAAGGGUGCGCAGGCGGUUUUGUAAGACAGAGGUGAAAUCCCCGGGCUCAACCUGGGAACUGCCUUUGUGACUGCAAGGCUGGAGUGCGGCAGAGGGGGAUGGAAUUCCGCGUGUAGCAGUGAAAUGCGUAGAUAUGCGGAGGAACACCGAUGGCGAAGGCAAUCCCCUGGGCCUGCACUGACGCUCAUGCACGAAAGCGUGGGGGAGCAAACA
rnacentral:rRNA from 1 species